rnacentral:lncRNA from 1 species
UGAAACUUGUUCAUUCAUACUUUUUGUGUGGUUACUGAGCCUAAAUUGUUAGCCUCAGCUGAACGUUUGUAUGGUUUGAUCACUUCCUCAAAAUCAUUAUGAGCCAGAGUAGUUUGAUCAUUAACGUUGAAAGGAGUCGACAUAUAAGAGAAUAUGAUUGAUAAUACAUAUUUUUAGAUUCUUGUGUGAGUUGGUGAAAGUGAGUUUAGAAGUGCACGUUAAUUUACGAGGGUGAUAUAUUAGAUAGGAAAAAAUAUAGGAAUAUACAGUUUGUAUCUCUGCCCGUGUGUUUAAAAAUUUAGAUAAGUGACCCAAUUUUUUGGGUAAGUUGCAAAAGAUAUAAAACUUGAUAAUUAAUAGUCCGAUCAUAACAAAAACAUAAAAAAAAAAACAUGAUGGCUUUAAGACAAAUCCAAAGCAACAUGAAACAUUAAAAAUUUAAUAUCCGUGAUUAACAUGGCCUUUAACACAAGAUAGCCAUCCAAAAUUAAACUUAAACAUUGAAAUAGAGUAAAACCCUAAACAUUAAAAACUUAAAACGAGACAUAAGACCCAAACACAAAAACUUAAAACAUUCAACAUAAGAUAGCCAUUCAAAAUUGAAAAAGAGUAAAACCGUAAACAUUAAAGCUAAGGCCUAAUCAGACGAUCCCAGAUCUUCAAAUCCAAAAGCGAGAGAAGGACCAGACCAUCAAGGAGCACAAACUCAAAAGUCAUUUGCAAGUUGUGAAUAGAAUCAACCAGGAAGUAUAGAGCGGCAACACCAAACCCUAAACUUCCUCCUUCAACCAAAAAUCAAAGUUUUCCAUUGACAAACAUCUUGGAAGAUGCGUUUAGGGUCGCAUACAUCACAACAGCUUGAAUAAAGAACAUGAGGAAUGAAGCGCUUACAACUGUCUGAAGAGGGAUCGUGUAGGAUGGAGGAUUAGUAGUAGUUAAGAAUAGAGCAAGUAAAAAAAGCAACAGAAAAUGCGAAAAACUUAGUGGGGAUGAAUGGGAAGAUGGUGGAGAUGAUCCAAUCUAUGGAUUCUUUG